GACGAACGCUGGCGGCGUGCCUAAUACAUGCAAGUAGGACGCAGUUGCGAACGGGGGAGUAACGCGUAGGUAACUAACCCUUAGAGGGGGAUAACUAUUGGAAACGAUAGCUAAUACCGCAUACUCGUAGAUGGACCUGCGUUGCAUUAGCUAGUAGGUAGGGUAAUGGCCUACCUAGGCAACGAUACAUAGCCGACCUGAGAGGGUGAUCGGCCACACUGGGACUGAGACACGGCCCAGACUCCUACGGGAGGUAGCAGUAGGGAAUCUUCGGCAAUGGGGGGAAGCCUGACCGAGCAACGCCGCGUGAGUGAAGAAGGUUUUCGGAUCGUAAAACUCUGUUGUUAGAGAAGCGGUAUCUAACCAGAAAGCCACGGCUAACUACGUGCCAGCAGCCGCGGUAAUAC
rnacentral:rRNA from 1 species